GAUGAACGCUGGCGGCGUGCCUAAUACAUGCAAGUCGAGCGAACAGUCGAGGAGCUUGCUCCUCUGACGUUAGCGCCGGUCGGGUGAGUAACACGUGGAUAACCUACCUCUAGGACUGGGAUACCUUCGGGAAACUGGAGCUAAUAUCGGAUAAUUUAUUGAACCGCAUGGUUCAAUAGUUAAAGACGGUUUUGCUGUCACUUAUUGCUGGAUCCGCGCCGCAUUAGCUAGUUGGUAAGGUAACGGCUUAACAAGGCAAGGGUGGGUAGCCGACAUAAAAGGGUGGACGGCCACACGGGAACAGAGACUCGGCCCAGACUCCGACAGUGAGACGCAGUAGGGAAUCUUCCGCGAUGGGCGAGAGCGUGACGUAGCAACGUGGCGUGAGUGAUGAAGAUCUUCGGAUCGUAAAACUCUGUAAUUAGGGAAGAAGAAAUGUUUUAGUAACUAUGCACAUCUUGACGGUACCUAGACAGAAAGCCACGGCUAACUACGUG
rnacentral:rRNA from 1 species